rnacentral:rRNA from 1 species
CGGCGUGCUUAACACAUGCAAGUCGAACGGAAAGGCCCUGCUUUUGUGGGGUGCUCGAGUGGCGAACGGGUGAGUAACACGUGAGUAACCUGCCCUUGACUUUGGGAUAACUUCAGGAAACUGGGGCUAAUACCGGAUAGGAGCUCCUGCUGCAUGGUGGGGGUUGGAAAGUUUCGGCGGUUGGGGAUGGACUCGCGGCUUAUCAGCUUGUUGGUGGGGUAGUGGCUUACCAAGGCUUUGACGGGUAGCCGGCCUGAGAGGGUGACCGGCCACAUUGGGACUGAGAUACGGCCCAGACUCGUACGGGAGG